AUUAACAAAAACAAGAACAGUGGUUGUGGAAUUCCCUUCUUGGCUGUGUGUUUGUCUUUUUAGUGUUGGAGUGGUAUAAGGUGAGGUUGUAAGAGACCAGGGCCCAUAAAAAGAUAAGUACAUUUCGAGCAAUUGUAAUUGGUCUCUCUCCCUUCACCGCUGGUAGCUUUUAAUAAUUGUUUUUUUCUUUGUGUCUCUUAGUUGGACCGGAGCUGUGGGCCAAAGCGGCGGGUUCGGGGAUGUGGAAUGCUGUUCACCUUUCCUGUAGUGUAGAGCACGCUGGGUGUUGAGAUGUGUGGUUUGUAGUGUUGACUAUUUCCUCUUCCUGUACUUUCUUCUGCCGUGGUAAGCCCUCAGCCCAGUUCCUCCCUAAAUUUGUUUUUAGUAAAGUAAAUUCUACUAUUUCUAUUUUUAUACUGUUGUCCAAGAAGGGAGUUUCUGGUCUGCCCUGUGUGUGUGUGUGGAAAUAUGUUUUAAAAUAAUUGUCAAUAAAUUUUCCUUAACUGAUGGUACCCCGUCUCUGGCCUCCGAGUGUGUCGAACCUGGGUGUCUUAUUCUCUCUUAGGCCUUAAGUGCCAGCCCUCUUUUCCUAGAGGUGAAAUCACCUCUGGGUGGCGUAGUCGUGCAUUAUCAAGAUUACUCCUCUCUGCCACA